rnacentral:rRNA from 1 species
UACGGGGGGAGCAAGCGUUGUUCGGAUUUACUGGGCGUAAAGGGCGCGUAGGCGGUCGUGACAAGUCACUUGUGAAAUCUCCGGGCUUAACUCGGAACGGUCAAGUGAUACUGUCGGACUAGAGUACAGAAGGGGCAACUGGAAUUCUCGGUGUAGCGGUGAAAUGCGUAGAUAUCGAGAGGAACGCCGGUGGCGAAAGCGACACACUGGACCUUGUCUGACGCUGAGGCACGAAAGCCAGGGGAGCGAACGGG